AUUGAACGCUGGCGGCAGGCCUAACACAUGCAAGUCGAACGAGUGGCGGACGGGUGAGUAAUGUCUGGGAAACUGCCUGAUGGAGGGGGAUAACUACUGGACACGGUAGCUAAUACCGACUACCAUACGAUGUGCCAAUAUUGGAGUAGCUUGUUGGUGGGGUAACGGCUCACCAAGGCGACGAUCCCUAGCUUGGCUGAGAGGAUGAACAGCCACACUGGGACUGAGACACGGUCCAGACUCCUACGGGAGGCAGCAGUGGGGAAUAUUGCACAAUGGGCGAAAGCUUGAUGCAGCCAUGCCGCGUGUAUGAAGAAGGCCUUCGGGUUGUAAAGUACUUUCAGCGGGAAGGCGUUACCCGCAGAAGAAGCACCGGCUAACUCCGUGCCAGCAGCCGCGGUAAUAC
rnacentral:rRNA from 1 species